rnacentral:lncRNA from 1 species
GCCCAAUAAAGGGAUAGAUUAUGUGCUUGUUUGGUAGGAAUUUUGAUGGUUGAUUUUUUGACCGUUAGAAAUAAAGUGGGUUUUAUCUAUGAGAGAAGAAUUCAAAAAUGACGGCUAUAAUAGUGAAAUAACGGUCAAAAAAUUGAUUCUAAUUGGCGUAAAAUCUGUAGCAAACAAGCUCUAUAUCAACUGUGCGACUGUAAAAUAAUAGCGUGUAUAUCAAAAAAACACGGUUUAGACUGUAAAUUGCAUAAACAAUAGGAUAAUAAGAUAUCUUACAUAAUUAAGCAUUACACUAAUUCACAUAUGUUGCUCUACAAAGGGAAAAGCCUACACAGAUAAUAGAAUAUAAACUAAUCAGGUUGAAUCUACAGAAGAAAAUCAUCUCAAAGUUGCAUGGAUUGACUCUGUUUCAUUAUCUGCCGGCUGCCAAAGUUUUCCCAUAUCCGCACUCGAUAAAAGUAGCAUAUAAGAGGACAUCGUUAGUUUCAAAAACCGGUAAGGAUAAAUUAUAAACGCGAGAGCUGUGAGUUUAUUGGGAAGUGAGGAACUAGGAUCGGAGCGCUUUUUGACUUAGUUUUGGUCAUUGUUUUUUCUAAAGAAGGCACUUUCUGAUGCUGGAUAAUAGCAUCAGAUAUUCGAGAAGAAGAUGUAUUACUGAUGCAGCGAAAAACCCCUAAAACCAAGCCCAUUUUUGAUCUGCUCUUGGAUAAAAAAUCUAUGAAUCUGUAGGGCUAUUUUAUAUUCUUGAGUUGUGAUUUAAUCGAAUUAAUUAGUUAAUGGAUACUUAUAGUGAAAAUAUCAAGAAAUGGUCAAGAAAUGUUGUGGAAAUUUCUCUCUUGUUUUGUCUUAUAGGUGAGGAAAAGGUGGGUGCUUUGAGUGCUUGCUGGGCAAGGAAAAAAGUGAGGUGCAUUGCACCUUCUUUCUCUCUCUCCAUUUAUAGUCAAUACUAGUGGG